rnacentral:rRNA from 1 species
UACGGGGGGGGCAAGCGUUGUUCGGAAUUACUGGGCGUAAAGGGCGCGCAGGCGGCGGUGCUGGCCCGGCGUGAAAGCCCCCGGCUCAACCGGGGAGAGUCGUCGGGGACCGCACCGCUUGAGGGCGGUAGGGGCCGGUGGAAUGCCUGGUGUAGUGGUGAAAUGCGUAGAGAUCAGGCAGAACACCUGGGGCGAAGGCGGCCGGCUGGGCCGUCCCUGACGCUGAGGCGCGAAGGCGUGGGGAGCGAACGGG